UCGAGAGUGCAAUCACGGGAGACAGACAUCGGGUGCUAACGUCCGGUGUCAAGAGGGAAACAACCCAGACCGCCAGCUAAGGUCCCCAAAUAUUGCUAAGUGGGAAACGAAGUGGGAAGGCUAAAACAGUCAGGAGGUUGGCUUAGAAGCAGCCAUCCUUUAAAGAAAGCGUAAUAGCUCACUGAUCGAGUCGUCCUGCGCGGAAGAUGUAACGGGGCUAAGCAAUAUACCGAAGCUGCGGAUGCACAUUUAUGUGCAUGGUAGGAGAGCGUUCCGUAAGCCUGCGAAGGUGCAUUGAAAAGUGUGCUGGAGGUAUCGGAAGUGCGAAUGCUGACAUGAGUAGCGAUAAAGGGGGUGAAAAGCCCCCUCGCCGUAAGCCCAAGGUUUCCUACGCAACGUUCAUCGGCGUAGGGUGAGUCGGCCCCUAAGGCGAGGCAGAAAUGCGUAGCUGAUGGGAAGC
rnacentral:rRNA from 1 species